AUCACCUGGGGAAUCUUGUUAAACUGCAGACUCUGAUUUAGUAGUACUGGGGAGCGGCUUGAGAGUCUGCAUUUUUAACAAACUCCCAGGUGAUGCCAG
rnacentral:pre_miRNA from 1 species